UGCGACCGAACCUGCUAGCAAGGAAAAGUUCUUUAAAAUAAUGGAUGUCAGCCGCGUCCAAUCGCAGCGACGAGCCUCCUGCUCGGGGCGGGGCAUAUCCUCGUCGGCCAGUAGACUGCAGGGGGCGGGGCCUGCCGUUCAUGCUUGGUUGCCGUGGAGCACAGCUUCAAGUGAAGUUAAUCUGAGGGGAAGCAAACAGAAAAUUGUGGAGGUUUUGGUGGUAGGAUUUUUGUUCCGAUCUUCUAAUAAUCCUUUAUUUUACACUUUUGCUCCUUUAUGCUUCUGUGUGUGCUCGGUUCUGUCAUUGUGCUAUUUUCUGAUGCAAACCGAACAUUAACAUUAAGCAGGGAAGCAGAACAAAAGGGCUGUUUGGACAGGAAAUAGGUGUUGAGAGGAUCAAACUUGACUUUGUUCGUCAGGAUCUCUAGUUGAGAGCUUGAGUGUGGUUAGAGGUCGUGGGGGCCGGGGUCCUCUCCAGCAACGGGCUUCCUCGCCCUCACACCUGGAGGGGGUCGUGCCCCUGAACUCAGGGGGUCGUUGAAUCCACGGGAGGGCGGGCGGCGGGGGCUCGGGCGCGAGUGCGGUCACUGGUCGGCGUCGCCGGGGCUAUCCCUCCCACCCCCAGGACCCCCCCCAACUACUGUGUGCUCUGGGCUUACCCCCAGCACCUCCUCCUACAGUGUCCCCGGACUCACCCCCAGGAACCCCCCCAACAGUGUCCCCCGGACUCACCCCCACCACCUCCGCCUACAGUGUGCCCCGGACUUGCCCCAGCCCCUCCCCCAUUACAGUAUCCCCCGGACUCACCCCCAACACCUCCCCCUACAGUGUGCCCCGGACUCACCCCCAGCCCCUCCCCCUGCAGUGUGCCCCGGACUCACCCCAGCACCCCCAUCAACUACAGCGUGCUGCGGACGGGGCAGCGGGCUGGCAUCCUUAGUGUGCCCCGGAUUUGUUGUUGAGGAGCUCAUUGACUUCAUUCUGUGUAGCACAAGGUUGAGCUGUGGACACAUUUGCUCCUCCAGGGCUCUGGGAAUGCCAGCACUGAGAGAA
rnacentral:lncRNA from 1 species